UACGAAGGGUGCAAGCGUUGCUCGGAAUUAUUGGGCGUAAAGCGCACGUAGGCGGCUCUGCAAGUCGGAUGUGAAAUCCCUCGGCUCAACCAAGGAAGUGCAUCCGAAACUGCGGAGCUUGAGUACUUAAGAGGAUCGCGGAAUUCCCGGUGUAGAGGUGAAAUUCGUAGAUAUCGGGAGGAACAUCAGUGGCGAAGGCGGCGAUCUGGGAAGUUACUGACGCUGAGGUGCGAAAGCGUGGGGAGCAAACAGG
rnacentral:rRNA from 1 species